rnacentral:rRNA from 1 species
UACGAAGGGGGCUAGCGUUGUUCGGAAUUACUGGGCGUAAAGCGCGUGUAGGCGGGCCGUUAAGUCGGGGGUGAAAGCCCAGAGCUCAACUCUGGAAUUGCCUUCGAUACUGGCGGCCUGGAGGAUGAUAGAGGCGAGUGGAAUUGCGAGUGUAGAGGUGAAAUUCGUAGAUAUUCGCAGGAACACCAGUGGCGAAGGCGACUCGCUGGAUCAUUGCUGACGCUGAGACGCGAAAACGUGGGGAGCAGACACG